GUUGGUACGGUAAUACUUAUUCACCAAGCUGGUCAUCGACGAGAGUGAGGAUAUCCUAGACGGAGCAAGAAUGGGCAGAGGCUGAAGAACCUAUGAAGCUUACUUUUCAAGCACAGAAAUUUUGGUCUACAUAGCCUCUUUUACAAGGUGACUUUUUUUUUUUUUUAACUUUAAAGUAGAGGAAAAUGAAAAGUGGACAAGGAAACUUUGAAGAUAGCACGGUGAGUUGGUUCUAUUCUUGUCUUCCCCACUACCCACUGCUCUGGUCUAAAAAA
rnacentral:sRNA from 1 species